rnacentral:rRNA from 1 species
CGCGUGAGGGAUGACGGCCUUCGGGUUGUAAACCUCUUUCAGCAGGGAAGAAGCGAGAGUGACGGUACCUGCAGAAGAAGCGCCGGCUAACUACGUGCCAGCAGCCGCGGUAAUACGUAGGGCGCAAGCGUUGUCCGGAAUUAUUGGGCGUAAAGAGCUCGUAGGCGGCUUGUCACGUCGGAUGUGAAAGCCCGGGGCUUAACCCCGGGUCUGCAUUCGAUACGGGCAGGCUAGAGUGUGGUAGGGGAGAUCGGAAUUCCUGGUGUAGCGGUGAAAUGCGCAGAUAUCAGGAGGAACACCGGUGGCGAAGGCGGAUCUCUGGGCCAUUACUGACGCUGAGGAGCGAAAGCGUGGGGAGCGAACAGGAUUAGAUACCCUGGUAGUCCACGCCGUAAACGUUGGGAACUAGGUGUUGGCGACAUUCCACGUCGUCGGUGCCGCAGCUAACGCAUUAAGUUCCCCGCCUGGGGAGUACGGCCGCAAGGCUAAAACUCAAAGGAAUUGACGGGGGCCCGCACAAGCAGCGGAGCAUGUGGCUUAAUUCGACGCAACGCGAAGAACCUUACCAAGGCUUGACAUACACCGGAAAGCAUCAGAGAUGGUGCCCCCCUUGUGGUCGGUGU